rnacentral:rRNA from 1 species
GAUGAACGCUGGCGGCGUGCCUACUACAUGCAAGUCGAGCGAACAGACGAGGAGCUUGCUCCUCUGACGUUAGCGGCGGACGGGUGAGUAACACGUGGAUAACCUACCUAUAAGACUGGGAUAACUUCGGGAAACCGGAUCUAAUACCGGAUAAUAUAUUGAACCGCAUGGUUCAAUAGUGAAAGACGGUUUUGCUGUCACUUAUAGAUGGAUCCGCGCCGCAUUAGCUAGUUGGUAAGGUAACGGCUUACCAAGGCAACGAUGCGUAGCCGACCUGAGAGGGUGAUCGGCCACACUGGAACUGAGACACGGUCCAGACUCCUACGGGAGGCAGCAGUAGGGAAUCUUCCGCAAUGGGCGAAAGCUUGACGGAGCAACGCCGCGUGAGUGAUGAAGGUCUUCGGAUCGUAAAACUCUGUUAUUAGGGAAGAACAAAUGUGUAAGUAACUAUGCACGUCUUGACGGUACCUAAUCAGAAAGCCACGGCUAACUACGUG